GAUGAACGCUAGCUACAGGCUUAACACAUGCAAGUCGAGGGGUAACGAGAGGAAAGCUUGCUUUCCUUGUCGACGACCGGCGCACGGGUGAGUAACGCGUAUCCAACCUGCCCCCAACUAAGGAAUAACCUUGCGAAAGUAAGACUGAUACCUUAUAAUUUCCUCAGAUGUCAUCUGACGAGGAAUAAAGAUUUAUCGGUUGUGGAUGGGGAUGCGUCUGAUUAGCUUGUUGGCGGGGUAACGGCCCACCAAGGCAACGAUCAGUAGGGGUUUUGAGAGAAAAGUCCCCCACAUUGGAACUGUGACACGGUCCAAACUACUACGUGAGGCAGCAGUGAGGAAUAUUGGUCAAUGGGCGUAAUCCUGAACCAGCCAAGUAGCGUGCAGGAUGACGGCCCUAUGGGUUGUAAACUGCUUUUAUACAGGAAUAAAGUUAGCCACGUGUGGUUAUUUGCAGGUACUGUAUGAAUAAGGACCGGCUAACUACGUGCCAGCCGCCGCCGUAA
rnacentral:rRNA from 1 species